GAUGAACGCUGGCGGCGUGCCUAAUACAUGCAAGUCGAGCGAACAGACGAGGAGCUUGCUCCUCUGACGUUAGCGGCGGACGGGUGAGUAACACGUGGAUAACCUACCUAUAAGACUGGGAUAACUUCGGGAAACCGGAGCUAAUACCGGAUAAUAUAUUGAACCGCAUGGUUCAAUAGUGAAAGACGGUUUUGCUGUCACUUAUAGAUGGAUCCGCGCCGCAUUAGCUAGUUGGUAAGGUAACGGCUUACCAAGGCUACGAUGCGUAGCCGACCUGAGAGGGUGAUCGGACACACUGGAACUGAGACACGGUCCAGACUACUACGGGAGGCAGCAGUAGGGAAUCUUCCGCAAUGGGCGAAAGCCUGACGGAGCAACGCCGCGUGAGUGAUGAAGGUCUUCGGAUCGUAAAACUCUGUUAUUAGGGAAGAAAAAAUGUGUAAGUAACUAUGCACGUCUUGACGGUAACUAAUCAGAAAGCAACGGCUAACUACGUG
rnacentral:rRNA from 1 species